rnacentral:rRNA from 1 species
GAUGAACGCUAGCUACAGGCUUAACACAUGCAAGUCGAGGGGUAACGAGAGGAAAGCUUGCUUUCCUUGUCGACGACCGGCGCACGGGUGAGUAACGCGUAUCCAACCUGCCCCCAACUAGGGAAUAACCUUGCGAAAGUAAGACUAAUACCCUAUAAUUUCCUCAGAUGACAUCUGACGAGGAAUAAAGAUUUAUCGGUUGUGGAUGGGGAUGCGUCUGAUUAGCUUGUUGGCGGGGUAACGGCCCACCAAGGCAACGAUCAGUAGGGGUUCUGAGAGGAAGGUCCCCCACAUUGGAACUGAGACACGGUCCAAACUCCUACGGGAGGCAGCAGUGAGGAAUAUUGGUCAAUGGGCGGAAGCCUGAACCAGCCAAGUAGCGUGCAGGAUGACGGCCCUAUGGGUUGUAAACUGCUUUUAUAUAGGAAUAAAGUUAGCCACGUGUGGUUAUUUGUAGGUACUGUAUGAAUAAGGACCGGCUAAUUCCGUGCCAGCCGCCGCUGUAA